rnacentral:tRNA from 1 species
UCAUUGGUGGUUCAGUGGGAGAAUUCUCACCUCCCACACUGGAGACCCAGGUUUGAUUCCUGACCAAUGUA